UCGAGGGGUAUAGGUUUUCGGACCUAGAGACCGGCGCACGGGUGCGUAACGCGUAUGCAAUCUACCUUUUACAGAGGGAUAGCCCAGAGAAAUUUGGAUUAAUACCUCAUAGUAUUACGACUCGGCAUCGAGAUGUAAUUAAAGUCACAACGGUAAAAGAUGAGCAUGCGUCCCAUUAGCUAGUUGGUAAGGUAACGGCUUACCAAGGCUACGAUGGGUAGGGGUCCUGAGAGGGAGAUCCCCCACACUGGUACUGAGACACGGACCAGACUCCUACGGGAGGCAGCAGUGAGGAAUAUUGGUCAAUGGGCGCAAGCCUGAACCAGCCAUGCCGCGUGCAGGAUGAAGCAUCUAUGGUGUGUAAACUGCUUUUGUACGAGAAGAAACACUCCUACGUGUAGGAGCUUGACGGUAUCGUAAGAAUAAGGACCGGCUAACUCCGUGCCAGCAGCCGCGGUAAUACGGAGGGUCCAAGCGUUAUCCGGAAUCAUUGGGUUUAAAGGGUCCGUAGGCGGUUUAGUAAGUCAGUGGUGAAAGCCCAUCGCUCAACGGUGGAACGGCCAUUGAUACUGCUAAACUUGAAUUAUUAGGAAGUAAC
rnacentral:rRNA from 1 species